rnacentral:rRNA from 1 species
CCCGAGGAUGGGACUGCGGCCUAUCAGGCUGUUGGCGGUGUAACGGACCACCAAACCUACAACGGGUACGGGCGAUGGGAGUCGGAGCCCGGAGAUGGGGACUGAGACAAGGCCCCAGGCCCUACGGGGCGCAGCAGGUACGAAAACUCCGCAAUGCGCGAAAGCGUGACGGGGGAACCCCAAGUGCCGUUGGUCUUUGAUCGACGGCUUUUAGGGAGUCUAAGAAGCUCCCGGAAUAAGGGCUGGGCAAGUCGGGUGCCAGCCGCCGCGGUAAUACCCGCAGCCCAAGUAGUGGUCGCGAUUAUUGGGCCUAAAGCGCUCGUAGCCGGGUCAUCAAGUCCCUUGUGAAAUCGGGCGGCCUAACCGUUCGGCUUGCAAGGGAUACUGUUGGUCUUGAGGCCGGGAGACGUCUGAGGUACUCCGGGGGUAGCGGUAAAAUGCUGUAAUCCUCGGGGGACCACCAGUGGCGAAGGCGUCAGACGAGAACGGACCUGACGGUGAGGGGCGAAGGCUAGGGGAGCGAACGGGAUUAGAUACCCCGGUAGUCCUAGCUGUAAAGCAU